rnacentral:rRNA from 1 species
CUUGGUCAUUUAGAGGAAGUAAAAGUCGUAACAAGGUUUCCGUAGGUGAACCUGCGGAAGGAUCAUUAUUGAAUGAACCUUGGUGAGGGGUUGUUGCUGGCCUCUAGAGGCAUCGUGCACACCUCUUUACCAUUGCUUCUUUCUCUUUUUCCACCUGUGCACUUAUUGUAGACCUUGGGUUGUGAGGAGCUGAGUGGUCAAGCCCCUUGGCUCUUUGUUAAGCCCCUUUUUCCAAGGUCUAUGUUAUCUUUACAUACACUCUGCAUGAAUGUUUAUAGAAUGUAGUUUUGUAAGGCUUUUCUCAAAGCCUUUAAACAAAUAAUACAACUUUCAACAACGGAUCUCUUGGCUCUCGCAUCGAUGAAGAACGCAGCGAAAUGCGAUAAGUAAUGUGAAUUGCAGAAUUCAGUGAAUCAUCGAAUCUUUGAACGCACCUUGCGCUCCUUGGUAUCCCGAGGAGCAUGCCUGUUUGAGUGUCAGUAAAUUCUCAAACCUUUACAAGUUUUGCUUUCUUUGAAAGAUCAACUUGUUAAGGCUUUUGGAGUUGGGAGCCUGCAGGCUUGCACUUUGCAAGUCAGCUCUCCUCAAAUGCAUUAGCAGGAGAUAUGAGUAGUGAUGCUCCCUAUUGGUGUGAUAAUUAUCUACACCAGGGAACUGCUUUCAAAUGUUGUCUCUGCUUUCUAAUUGUCUUUGGACAAUUGACAAUCUUGACCUCAAAUCAGGUAGGACUACCCGCUGAACUUAAGCAUAUCA